rnacentral:rRNA from 1 species
UGGCGAACGGGUGAGUAACGCGUUGGUGACCUACCCCAAAGUGUGGGAUAACAGUCCGAAAGGAUUGCUAAUACCACAUGUGGUCUCCGGGUUUAGAAACCGGUGACUAAAGGAGCAAUUCGCUUUGGGAGGGACCUGCGUCCCAUCAGCUAGUUGGUGAGGUAAUGGCUCACCAAGGCGACGACGGGUAGGGGACCUGAGAGGGUGGCCCCCCACAAUGGAACUGAAACACGGUCCAUACACCUACGGGUGGCAGCAGUAGGGAAUAUUGGUCAAUGGGCGAAAGCCUGAACCAGCAACGCCGCGUGUGCGAUGAAGGCCUUCGGGUCGUAAAGCACUUUUCUGGGAGAUGAGAAAGGACAGUAUCCCAAGAAUAAGCAUCGGCUAACUCCGUGCCAGCAGCCGCGGUAAUACGGAGGAUGCAAGCGUUAUCCGGAUUCAUUGGGUUUAAAGGGUCCGUAGGCGGUCUUAUAAGUCAGUGGUGAAAGCCCAUCGCUCAACGAUGGAACUGCCAUUGAUACUGUAAGACUUGAAUGCUUAGGAAGUAACUAGAAUAUGUAGUGUAGCGGUGAAAUGCUUAGAUAUUACAUGGAAUACCAAUUGCGAAGGCAGGUUACUACUAAGUGAUUGACGCUGAUGGACGAAAGCGUGGGGAGCGAACAG